UUAGGGGGUGGAAGUUAGGAUUAAAAAUAGAGACAAGGACUAGGAGAGAUUUUAGGAUUUUUAGUUUAGCCCUUGAGGAAUUAGGUUUAGAUGGUUUAAUAAGGAUGGGGAAGCAGCUAAAGAAAAGAAAGAAGAGGACGCGUGAAAGAAGAAGAAAAAGAAAGAAGAGGACGCGUGAAAGAAGAAGGAAGAGGAAAGGAAGAGAACUAGGGUUCAUCAUCAAUCACGGUACAUGUGCUAGUGGAGCAUCUCAUGAGAAGUAGACAGAGAGCUAUAUACUGUUAUUUAGAUAGUUAUCUAGUAGUAUGAGGGUCAAUUGCUCUGUAUGUAACAUUGGGGGACGUGGUUUAAUAAAUUAUUUUGAUGAGAGUAAUUGACAACUCUUUUUGGUUCUUUCUUUUGUAAACUUGAGUUACAUGGAGUUGACGUUUUUUGAUGGCCAUAAUGCCUAUACUUCUUUUACUGAAUUUUUUUUAUUGAAGUAUGUCUGGAAGAUGAUUUUUUGAUGAU